AUAGGUCUCAAUUUUAUAUACAUUUACUGUAAUUCUCAAAGCAUGACGGAUUUACCAUUAAUUUUAUCCAGGGUGAAAUCUGACAAAAACAUUUUUUAAUCAGCUGAUUAAAUUUCCCUUUUUCAGGUAGAAUUAUUAUACUGGAAGCUUGUUGGAAACUCAGUCAGUAUACAAAUGAUAAAGUACAGAUUACAUCAUUGUACAAGAAAGACUUUAAAAACUUCAUCUGCAUGAGAAUUUUACUAUUUAGGAAUUGUUCUAUUGUGACAGACAUCAUCUUUUUUUACAAUUACUCAAAUCUUAAGGCAGACCAAGUGAAGUCCACUUUCCUCACUUAGGUUAGGAAUUUGACCUUUCCUGUUAAUCCAUAGUCUCCCUGAUUCAUGUUCAGUGUACACUUAGACAUACUUUAAACACUCAAAUAGGUCCAAUGUCCAAACUGUACAUUACAUGGAA